rnacentral:rRNA from 1 species
GUCCUUUUGAAUUUUUAUUUAAGGUCUAGUCUGCCCACUGAAUUUAUAUUUUAAAUGGCCGCAGUAUUUUGACUGUGCAAAGGUAGCAUAAUCAUUAGUUUUUUAAUUAAAAGCUUGUAUGAAAGGCUGGACGAGGUAAAAUCUGUCUCUAUUUAAAUUAUAAUAGAAUUUAACUUUUAAGUUAAAAGGCUUAAAUAUUAUUAAAAGACGAGAAGACCCUAUAGAUCUUUAUAAUUUGUUAAAUAAAAUUUAUUUAGAAUUAUUUAUGUUUUAUUUAAUUGAAUUAUUUUAUUGGGGUAAUGGAAAGAUUGAAUUAAUUCUUUUUUAUAAUAAACAUUAAUUUAUGAAUAUUAGAUGAUCCAGUUUUACUGAUUAUAAGAUUAAGUUACCUUAGGGAUAACAGCGUAAUUUUUUUAGAGAGUUCAUAUCGAUAAAAAAGUUUGCGACCUCGAUGUUGGAUUAAAGAUUAUUUUAGGUGCAGAAGCUUAAUAAU